rnacentral:rRNA from 1 species
CCUACGGGGUGCAGCAGUGAGGAAUAUUGGUCAAUGGACGAGAGUCUGAACCAGCCAAGUAGCGUGAAGGAUGACUGCCCUAUGGGUUGUAAACUUCUUUUAUAUGGGAAUAAAAUGUUCCACGUGUGGGAUUUUGUAUGUACCAUAUGAAUAAGGAUCGGCUAACUCCGUGCCAGCAGCCGCGGUAAUACGGCGGAUCCGAGCGUGAUCCGGAUUUAUUGGGUUUAAAGGGAGCGUAGGUGGAUUGUUAAGUCAGUUGUGAAAGUUUGCGGCUCAACCGUAAAAUUGCAGUUGAAACUGGCAGUCUUGAGUACAGUAGAGGUGGGCGGAAUUCGUGGUGUAGCGGUGAAAUGCUUAGAUAUCACGAAGAACUCCGAUUGCGAAGGCAGUUCACUGGACUGCAACUGACACUGAGGCUCGAAAGUGUGGGUAUCAAACAGGAUUAGAUACCCGAGUAGUC